GAUGAACGCUGGCGGCGUGCUUAACACAUGCAAGUCGAACGAAGCACCCUGAUUUGAUUCUUCGGAUGAAGAUCUUGGUGACUGAGUGGCGGACGGGUGAGUAACGCGUGGGUAACCUGCCUCAUACAGGGGGAUAACAGUUAGAAAUGACUGCUAAUACCGCAUAACGUAUGAGUGCCGCAUGACACACAUACCAAAGAUUUUAUCGCUGAAAGAUGGACUCGCGUUGGAUUAAAUAGUUGGUGAGGUAACGGCUCACCAAGUCGACGAUCCAUAGCCGGACUGAGAGGCUGAACGGCCACAUUGGGACUGAGACACGGCCCAG
rnacentral:rRNA from 1 species